rnacentral:rRNA from 1 species
UAGCCCGGCGAAAGCCGGAUUAAUACCGCAUACGAUCUUUGGAUGAAAGCGGGGGAUCUUCGGGCCUCGCGCUAUAGGGUUGGCCGAUGGCUGAUUAGCUAGUUGGUGGGGUAAAGGCCUACCAAGGCGACGAUCAGUAGCUGGUCUGAGAGGACGAUCAGCCACACUGGGACUGAGACACGGCCCAGACUCCUACGGGAGGCAGCAGUGGGGAAUUUUGGACAAUGGGGGCAACCCUGAUCCAGCAAUGCCGCGUGUGUGAAGAAGGCCUUCGGGUUGUAAAGCACUUUUGUCCGGAAAGAAAACGUUUCUGAUAAUACCAGGAGCGGAUGACGGUACCGGAAGAAUAAGCACCGGCUAACUACGUGCCAGCAGCCGCGGUAAUACGUAGGGUGCGAGCGUUAAUCGGAAUUACUGGGCGUAAAGCGUGCGCAGGCGGUUCGCUAAGACCGAUGUGAAAUCCCCGGGCUUAACCUGGGAACUGCAUUGGUGACUGGCGGGCUAGAGUAUGGCAGAGGGGGGUAGAAUUCCACGUGUAGCAGUGAAAUGCGUAGAGAUGUGGAGGAAUACCGAUGGCGAAGGCAGCCCCCUGGGCCAAUACUGACGCUCAGC